AUUGAACGCUGGCGGCAGGCCUAACACAUGCAAGUCGAGCGAGCGGCGGACGGGUGAGUAAUGUAUGGGGACUGCCCGAUAGAGGGGGAUAACUACUGGAAACGGUAGCUAAUACCGCAUACUAUCGGAUAACCCAUAUGGGAGUAGCUAGUAGUUGAGGUAAUGGCCCACCUAGGCGACGCUCCAUAGCUGGUCUGAGAGGAUGAUCAGCCAAACUGGGACUGAGACACGGCACAGACGCCGACGGAGGCAGCAGUGGGGAAUAGUGCACAAUGGGCGCAAGCCUGAUGAAGCCAGGCCGCGUGUAUGAAGAAGGCCCUAGGGUUGUAAAGUACUUUCAGUCGGGAGGCGUUACCGACAGAAGAAGCACCGGCUAACUCCGUGCCAGCAGCCGCGGUAAUAC
rnacentral:rRNA from 1 species